UGAGUGUCACUGAUGAAAGUCCAGCUUUCUGUGAGCUGUUGUUCACUCUUGUUAAAAGGUAGAAAUGUGUUUACCUUGUAUACUAUAGCUCACGAGUGAAAUAGGAGGACAAAUUAGCUAUUUUUGAAAAUUGAGAUUUCCUUGGUAUCAUACUUACAUUAGCCAUACCACCAGAACCUUGUUUUAUUUUUACAAUGACUUAUUUUGAGGACAUUCCUGGAAAAUAUACUUGCCAUUGAAACAAGUGAAAUGCUCUUGCCUCAAUUAGUGUCAUUUACAAUUUCCUCAACAUUUAAAGGAAAAGAGUCAGUACAACUCAAUACCAUAUUAAACAGCUUAAGAUGAACUAGUUUACAGUGAUGCUAUUUCCAUGCAGGAUGCUGCCCGGAGGGGUCGUCUGUCUGUCUGUCUAGAUGGAGAUAAAUGCCCAGUUUUGCCCAGAGAGAGGCGGGCUGCUGACUGAUAAAGGCUGUGUUUGGGAUGAAGCUCAGCUGUUAGUGUUUACUUUAAUUGUCCUGUAAUCACCAGGUCUCCGGAGGAGGGAGAGGUUCUCCCGCCGAGCUGCACCUGGACCCUGUUCUGGACUGAUUAUACCCGUGGUGGAGGAGAUUCCCAUCCCGAACACAGUCCGAUCAAAACACACCAGGAAAUCAGUGGGAGAGAGAUGACAGCGACAGAGGACAGUGGUAAAAAGUGAACAAGGAAAACGAGGUAUUGAAAAGUGCUGGAAGAAGACAGUACAAGGACAGUAAACUCUGAAGACAGUGCUGGAGGAGACGUUACCUUUCACCUUCAACACGGAUGUUGCCCCGACGGAGAAGUGAGACAUUAAUGCAAACGCUGGUUGUCAUUAACCGGCCACAUUAUGAACCUUGCAUAUAUUUGCAUGAGAUAUCAAUCACAUCAUGUUGUAACUGCAAAGUGGAGCUGUUUGCUGACUCUGGAAUUCACCUCUUACAAGCUAUUUUUUGAGACAGACUUUUAAAAUAAUAUUGUUGCUCUAAUUGUUUGUUUUGUUUCAUCAUUAACCCGGUAAAUAAUGAACAUUGCAUACAUUUACAUACAAUUUAUCAAUCAAACCCACUUCUAACUGCAUGGGGGGAGUUGUUUUCAGAGUCUGGAAAUCACCUCCUACAGCAUAUUUUUCCACACAGACAUUUAUAUGUUUUUGCCU